rnacentral:tmRNA from 1 species
GGGGGUGAUCGGUUUCGACUUCGGUGAUUGCUUCAGGGGAAGCGGGUCGAGGGUUUGUAAGUGUAACCUCGUUAAUCCUGCGCUUGCGUAAAUAUCAAGUGCCAACACAAAGCGCACUGAGUUCGCUCUCGCCGCUUAAGCGAUAGCGUCUCUGUCGGCCUGGGUUUGUUCUCGACCCAGUGUCCGGCAUCGGUUAGAGGACUUACCGCUCAGAUCAGGUCACGGGGCCUGAGUGGGAAACUUACGUGACUGGGCCUGUCAGCGACGUGUCUGUGCGAGCGCUGGGGCCGAGUAGAACGGCAGCAUAGACUGCACCCGGAGAAGCCCUGUGGUGACACGGAAGGACGCGGGUUCGAUUCCCGCCACCUCCACUC